GAGAAUACUGUAAGCAUGAAAAAUUAAAAUAUAUGCCAUCAUGCUGGCCGCAAAAUGUGCUAAAAAUGUCCCCACGUUAAUUUUUUUCGUAUACUUAGUAUUUACGGUAAAAGCAUUGACCAGUAACUGUGUGAGCACCCUGCGUAAAACGACUAAGCACUAAGUACACUUUGACUUUAGCUAUUUUCAACCCUUUUCAACAAUAACUCUUUACAACAAGAUAAACUGAGAAUAUUUGCACCUCAUGUUACUAUAAGUUAUUAACAUCGUUGAAAGUUUAAGUAUUUAAAAAUUACAUCAGCAAACCGUGGGAUCAACAAUUCUAGCAUCAAGUUUUCGCAUUUUCAAAUCCUCUUUUGGUAUUGGAUGUGCACAUCCUAAAGCGAUACUAACCUCUUCGGCGAUCAUCCAUACAGUGACUCGCCGAUUUGAUAACACAAGUUUUCGAACCCAUAGAAUGUUCUCAUCGAUUUGCAAGGACAAUUGACGUAACUGAGCAAAGUACCUUAGUACUGAAUAACAAAUUACUGCUCAAAUAAUGAGAAAGAUUGUUGACGACAAAAAGCCGAUAAAUAGGCUAUCGGUUGGUAAGCAUCAAUGAUAAAAAGCCAACUAAUAAACUAUCGGUCGGUAAGCGUCGGCGACAAAAAACCGAUUAAUCGACUAUCGGUCGGUAAAGUGUUAAUAUAGCAGAGUUGAUCAUUAGUUAGAGUAAGAUCAUUAUUGGAAUAAAUUUCAUAAGUUUAUCCGUGGAAUUAUCAUUUGUUAUUCGUAACGAAUUAUU
rnacentral:lncRNA from 1 species